rnacentral:rRNA from 1 species
AGAGUUUGAUCCUGGCUCAGAGCGAACGCUGGCGGCAUGCCUAAAACAUGCAAGUCGUGCGGGGGGCUUCGGCCCUCAGCGGCGGACGGGUGAGUAUCGCGUAGGAACGUGUCCUGAGGUGGGGAACAACCCCGGGAAACUGGGGCUAAUGCCGCAUGUCCCCUACGGGGGAAAGCCUUCGGGCGCCUUGGGAGCGGCCUGCGUCCGAUUAGCUUGUUGGUGGGGUAACGGCCCACCAAGGCUCCGAUCGGUAGCUGGUCUGAGAGGACGAUCAGCCACACUGGGACUGAGACACGGCCCAGACUCCUACGGGAGGCAGCAGUGGGGAAUAUUGGGCAAUGGGCGAAAGCCUGACCCAGCAAUGCCGCGUGGGUGAAGAAGGUCUUCGGAUUGUAAAGCCCUUUCGGCGGGGACGAUGAUGACGGUACCCGCAGAAGAAGCCCCGGCUAACUUCGUGCCAGCAGCCGCGGUAAUACGAAGGGGGCUAGCGUUGCUCGGAAUUACUGGGCGUAAAGGGCGCGUAGGCGGCGUCAGCAGUCGGGCGUGAAAUUCCCGGGCUCAACCUGGGGACUGCGCCCGAGACGCUGGUGCUAGAGGGUGGAAGAGGCUCGCGGAAU